GACAGAGGUGCCGAGCGUUAGGCGGAAUCACUGGGCUUAAAGCGUGUGUAGGCGGACUUCUAAGUACCUUGUGAAAUCCCACGGCUUAACCGUGGAACUGCUUGGUAUACUGGUUGUCUUGGGCCAUCUAGGGGCUAGCGGAACAAACGGUGGAGCGGUGAAAUGCGUAGAUAUCGGGAGGAACAUCAGUGGCGAAGGCGGCCCUCUGGUCCAGUACUGACACUCAAGUGCGAAGCGUGGGGAGCAAACAGG
rnacentral:rRNA from 1 species